UACGGAGGGGGCUAGCGUUGUUCGGAAUUACUGGGCGUAAAGCGCGCGUAGGCGGCUCGAUCAGUCUGCUGUGAAAGUCAAAGGCUCAACCGUUGAAUGCCGGUGGAUACUGUCGGGCUAGAGUCCGGAAGAGGCGAGUGGAAUUCCUGGUGUAGCGGUGGAAUGCGCAGAUAUCAGGAGGAACACCAAUAGCGAAGGCAGCUCGCUGGGACGGUACUGACGCUAAGGCGCGAAAGCGUGGGGAGCGAACAGG
rnacentral:rRNA from 1 species